rnacentral:rRNA from 1 species
GACGAACGCUGGCGGCGUGCUUAACACAUGCAAGUCGAACGGAAAGGCCCUGCUUUUGUGUGUUUCUCGAUUGGCGAACGGGUGUGUAACACGUGAGUAACCUGCCCUUGACUUUGUGAUAACUUCAGGAAACUGGGGCUAAUACCGGAUAGGAUCUCCUGCUGCAUGUUGUGGGUUAGAAAGUUUCGGCGGUUGGGUAUGGACUCGCUGCUUAUCAGCUUGUUGGUGGGGUAGUGGCUUACCAAGGCUUUGACGGGUAGCCGGCCUGAGAGGGUGACCGGGCACAUUGGGCCUGAGAUACGGACCAGACUCCUACGGGACGCAGCAGUGGGGAAUAUUGCACAAUGGGCGGAAGCGUGAUGCAGAAACGCCGCGUGCGGGAUGACGGCCUUCGGGUUGUAAACAGAUUUCGACUGUGACGAAGCGUGAGUGACGGUAAUGGGUAAAGAAGCACCGGCUAACUACGUG